rnacentral:rRNA from 1 species
GACGAACGCUGGCGGCGUGCCUAAUACAUGCAAGUAGAACGCUGAAGAGAGGAGCUUGCUCUUCUUGGAUGAGUUGCGAACGGGUGAGUAACGCGUAGGUAACCUGCCUUUUAGCGGGGGAUAACUAUUGGAAACGAUAGCUAAUACCGCAUAACAAUGGAUGACCCAUGUCAUUUAUUUGAAAGGGGCAAAUGCUCCACUACAAGAUGGACCUGCGUUGUAUUAGCUAGUAGGUGAGGUAACGGCUCACCUAGGCGACGAUACAUAGCCGACCUGAGAGGGUGAUCGGCCACACUGGGACUGAGAAACGGCCCAGACUCCUACGGGAGGCAGCAGUAGGGAAUCUUCGGCAAUGGGGGCAACCCUGACCGAGCAACGCCGCGUGAGUGAAGAAGGUUUUCGGAUCGUAAAGCUCUGUUGUAAGUCAAGAACGAGUGUGAGAGUGGAAAGUUCACACUGUGACGGUAGCUUACCAGAAAGGGACGGCUAACUACGUG